UACGGAAGGGAGCAGCGUUACUCGGAAUUACUGGGCGUAAAGCGUGCGUAGGUGGUUUGUUAAGUCUGAUGUGAAAGCCCUGGGCUCAACCUGGGAAUUGCAUUGGAUACUGGCAGGCUAGAGUGCGGUAGAGGGUAGUGGAAUUCCCGGUGUAGCAGUGAAAUGCGUAGAGAUCGGGAGGAACACCAGUGGCGAAGGCGACUACCUGGACCAGCACUGACACUGAGGCACGAAAGCGUGGGGAGCAAACAGG
rnacentral:rRNA from 1 species